AGCAGCCGCGGUAAUUCCAGCUCCAAUAGCGUAUAUUAAAGUUGUUGCAGUUAAAAAGCUCGUAGUUGAAUUUCGGGGUUAGUAGGUUGGUCGUGCCACUGGUAUGUACUGGUUCUACUGAUCCCUCCUUCUUGUAGAACCGUAAUGCCAUUCACUUGGUGUUGCGGGGAAACAGGACUGUUACUUUGAAAAAAUUGAGUGUUUAAAGCAGGUUAACGCUUGAAUACAUUAGCAUGGAAUAAUGAAAUAGGACGUUCGAUCCUAUUUUGUUGGUUUCUAGGAUUGACGUAAUGAUUAAUAGAGAUAGUUGGGGGCAUUAGUAUUCAAUUGUCAGAGGUGAAAUUCUUGGAUUUAUUGAAGACUGACUACUGCGAAAGCAUUUGCCAAGGAUGUUUUCAUUAAUCAAGAACGAAAGUUAGGGGAUCGAAGACGAUCAGAUACCGUCGUAGUCUUAACCAUAAACUAUGCCGACUAGAGAUCGGAUGAUGUUAAUUUUUUAAUGACUCAUUCGGCGCCUUAC
rnacentral:rRNA from 1 species